rnacentral:rRNA from 1 species
GACGAACGCUGGCGGCGUGCCUAAUACAUGCAAGUAGAACGCAGUUGCGAAAGGGUGAGUAACGCGUAGGUACCUGCCUCAUAGCGGGGGAUAACUAUUGGAAACGGUAGCUAAUACCGCAUACUGUGAGAUGGAACUGCGUUGUAUUAGCUAGGUGGUGAGGGAAAGGGUCACCAAGGCGACGAUAGAUAGCCUACCCUAGAGGGUUAUGAGCCACACUGGGACUUAGAAACGGCCCAAAAUCCUACGGGAGGAAGCAGUAGGGAAUCUUCGGCCAUGGCCGGAAGUCUGACCGAGCAACGCCGCGUUAGUGAAGAAGGUUUUCGGGUCGUAAAGCUCUGUUGUUAGAGAAGCGGUACCUAACCAGAAAGGGACGGCUAACUACGUGCCAGCAGCCGCGGUAAUUC